CUUCACCGAGCCGAGCCACAGGGGCCGUUCGCGGUCCUGGCCGUAGGUGGCGAGGAGUGCCUGUGCCUC
rnacentral:antisense_RNA from 1 species